rnacentral:lncRNA from 1 species
GGAAAUGCAACAUUUGGACAGGGAAUGCCUGUUCUCACCUAGGUCCGUGGGGAUGGAGCCCUAGCCAGGGACCAUACCCUCCUCUACCCAGCACUUCUGCUCCCUGCUUCCCUAUCAUUUAAAGGGACCACACUCUUGCCUUCCUAGCACUCACGUACCAUUUUCAAGCAGAGAAAAGAACAAGUAGCUACACUAGGAUUUGCCUGACUUCCAGAAGGAAAGAGAUUCAUCUUUCCUUGGCAAUCGACGUAGACCAAAAGUAAGGGAAAGGUCUGGGGUCUGCUUGUCUUAGUAUCUCAAGGCAGCCUCCAAGAGAAACAGAUCAUAGAAGAAAGAGGCUGCUAGUAUUCCAGAGUGCCUAGUGACUGAGAAUUCCAUGAGAAUGGAGAUGCAGUAGCCCUCACCGGGCUCUGAACUAGGGGAGUGUGGAUUCUCAAAGAAUUCAUGAAAAUGUUCACAAUGGAGUCUUCUUAUGCAUCUGUUUU